rnacentral:rRNA from 1 species
ACUCAAAUGAAUUGACGGGGGCCCGCACAAGCGGUGGAGCAUGUGGUUUAAUUCGACGCAACGCGAAGAACCUUACCUGGGCUUGACAUGCUAGUGAAAGGCCGGGGAAACCCGGUCCCCCCUUCGGGGCGCUAGCACAGGUGCUGCAUGGCUGUCGUCAGCUCGUGUCGUGAGAUGUUGGGUUAAGUCCCGCAACGAGCGCAACCCCCGUCCCGUGUUGCCAGCGGAGAGGCCUUAAACAAGCCGAGCCGGGGACUCGCGGGAGACUGCCGGUGCCAAACCGGAGGAGGGUGGGGACGACGUCAAGUCAUCAUGGUCCUUACGCCCAGGGCCACACACGUGCUACAAUGGCCGGUACAGCGGGUCGCGAGGUCGCGAGACCAAGCCAAUCCCUCAAAGCCGGCCUCAGUGCGGAUCGUGGGCUGCAACCCGCCCACGUGAAGCUGGAAUCGCUAGUAAUCGUGGAUCAGCCACGCCACGGUGAAUACGUUCCCGGGCCUUGUACACACCGCCCGU